AAAACACCCUCAUCUUGUUAUUCAUUAGUUGACCUCAUACUUGCAUACCAACACAUCUCGAAAACUAUUAAUUUAAGACAUCAGAUCUGGAUCUUUUGGACGGUUCUGGAUUAAGAAAACAAGUUGACUUCACACUAAUCGGACCUUUCACACAAAGAGACUUACCACUGCAGAAAUGGUGAGAUUAUUUUUGUAAAUACAGUAUAUCAUGAUUUUAGGCAAUCGUUUUGAAUUGGUUUUAAUGUUAUUUUACCAAAUGUUAUUUUAUCUUUUGAGUUUUUUUUUUUGUUCAAUUGGCCACCACAGUGUGCGGCCCCAUCAAUAAUGCAGUAUUGUUCAUGUGUGCAGGAAGAGGCGCUAACCUGCUACGGCGACUUAAGUAAGUUUGACGUUUGAUUUUAAAGCACACUUUGAUCUGUAAACCUUUUUUUUGUGUAAGACGUUAAUGGAAGUCAAAUGUUGUGCUGUAUCGAGCUGUAAAUACAGUUCCUUUGGGGAAGCGUGUGUGUGUGUGUGUGUGUGUGUGUGUGUGUGUGUGAGAGAGAGAGAGAGAGAUAUUACAUUAGUGUGAGUAUUUACAUUGGUUUAAGAUUUAAAACCGAUACUUUGACAAUACCUGAAAAACCAUAGCCUGUCUUUAAAUCAUGAUUUAACUUCUUUUUUUUUUACUGAAUGCAACGAGAGUAUUAACAUGACUCAAGUAAAGAAACUGGUUCCAACAAGUGAGUUUUUAAAUUGCUGCUGAUAACUGUUUAGGUUGAAAAAAA